UACGUAGGGGGCAAGCGUUGUCCGGAUUUAUUGGGCGUAAAGAGCGUGUAGGCGGCUUUACAGGUCCGUUGUGAAAACUCGAGGCUCAACCUCGAGACGCCGGUGGAAACCGUAAGGCUAGAGUCCGGAAGAGGAGAGUGGAAUUCCUGGUGUAGCGGUGAAAUGCGCAGAUAUCAGGAGGAACACCCGUGGCGAAAGCGGCGUCUCUGGGACGGUACUGACGCUGAAGACGCGGAAAGCGUGGGGAGCAAACAGG
rnacentral:rRNA from 1 species